rnacentral:rRNA from 1 species
CACGUAGGGCGCAAGCGUUGUCCGGAAUUAUUGGGCGUAAAGAGCUCGUAGGCGGUCUGUUGCGUCCGCUGUGAAAACUCGGGGCUUAACCCCGAGCCUGCAGUGGAUACGGGCGGACUAGAGGUAGGUAGGGGAGAAUGGAAUUCCCGGUGUAGCGGUGAAAUGCGCAGAUAUCGGGAGGAACACCUGUGGUGUAGACGGCUUUCUGGACCAUAGCUGACGCUGAGACACGAAAGCGUGGGUAGCAAAUAGG